ensembl:lncRNA
GUGGGGGUGAGGGUGUCUUGCUGGAGAUUCCUGUGCCUUCCAAAGAGUGAUUCUCAGGAUGGGCAGCUUUCUGAGAGAGAGAGAGAGAGAGAUGGCUACUAAGAAGGCUUUUGCUUUGGCCAGACUUUGGCAGCUCUGGAUGCUGCAGAAAAGGAUGCUGAGCAGCAGGAGUGGGAGGCAGCUGUGUGCUGCUGGGCACAGACAUGGGAGGCUGAUCUGAUCUGAGCAUCAGUCACUGCAGAAAUAAGCAGGAAUCCUCAGGCCAGAGAUAAGACACUGUGUUCAUCAUAGCAUGUUCCCAAGGGCUGGAGGUGAAACUAUGUGCUGGUGGGCAGCAAGAGGAAGACACUGCCCAGCAUUUUAUGCAUGAGGGGAUCCCACUUUGUGCCUGACUCCGCCAAAGUCAUGCACGUCUGCACACCCAGGCAGAUGAGCACAGCAGUGCUCUUCCAGCACGGUCCCCAGCCCUCACAGCAGCACUCUCCAGAGCAUGCACAGAUGCAAGCAACAGGGAGAAGGCAAGACCUGAGGAACGCACUCCAAGCAGCAGCAAGAGUCACCCAGCCUCGGUGAGGCUCUGGGCUUUCAGCUGGGCUGAUGCUCCCCCUGUCCUUCUGUCAGCAGGGCAGGGCUGGGGGAACAUGCUGAACUAGGAGCACCGCAUCUGCUGCUGGGGACAGGAGCUCCCUUCUCCUCCCGUAGUGGUGCUGCUGCACAGGGGGUUGGGAAAGGAUGUGACCUUUUGCAGAACACAUCCGAGCUGGGGAGCUUUAUUAUUCCGUACCCACUACAGACUGAAGGCAGAUUAAGCUGUCCCAGAGUCAAAGCUGACCUCUGCAAUCUUCCUGAUCUUCCUGCCAAUGCUUUGUCAAGGCAGAGGUGGACUUAAUGAGGUGGUUGUCGUGGUCUGACAAAUGGCAGUGAAAUCGAAGGGUACAAAUCAUGUUUGAACACAUCUGUAUCAGCCAAACAAGGCCUCGUGGAUCUCCGAGGUGAGGUUGCUUCUCAGCGUGGUGUUCUCCAGAGAGCAAUAGUGGAGCGUGGAGCUGGCAGGGAGGCACUGGACAGCUUGAAAUGGGGACCAUAGGGGUUGUGACACAUGGAUCUGGAUCUGCAGAGGCACUGGUGAGAAAUGCACACUGCUUGAUGCCUGGCAGGACACACGGACCCAAGGGGGCCAUGGUCAUGCCCAUCCCUCAGCCGCUUCCUGAGGGUCUUUUCACACAAUCUUGAGUCAAGAAGACCCAACCUUUCCCAGCGGACCAUUUGCCAGCUGGUCUGGAAAGGCCAUCUCUCCCCACCACAGUGCCACCAUGUGCCCCUCCUGUCCGGGGCGAUGACAGCCCAUCUCAGCAGCCUCGCUGGGAACUGAACAUGCCCAUGUUUGCUCUUUGUUUUCGCACUUUGCAGGUUUGUUUUUGCUUCCAGGAGCUGUUUAUUAUGCCAGGAAAAACAAAAACAAAAAAAAAAAAGAAAAUCCCACAAAACAAACAAACGAGAAAGCAACGUGCAAACACGAGCCUGUCUGCUCGGGAUAUUUCCAUCUCCUUACU